CCGAGAAUAUUCGACAAUGGGCGAAAGCCUGAUCGAGCGACGCCGCGUGUGGGAAGAAGGUCUGCGGAUCGUAAACCACUUUUAUCGGGGAAAAAUUUUGAUUGUACCCGUUGAAUAAGGGGCUGCUAACUUCGUGCCAGCAGCAGCGGUAAUACGAAGGCCCCGAGCGUUAUCCGGAAUUAUUGGGCGUAAAGCGUGUGUAGGCGGUUGAUAUUGUCGAGGGUUAAAGACCGAGGCUUAACUUCGGGAAUGCUCUCGAAACGUACCAACUAGAGUGUGUGAGAGGCGAGCGGAACUCACGGUGUAGGGGUGAAAUCCGUUGAUAUCGUGGGGAACACCAAAGGCGAAGGCAGCUCGCUGGCACACUACUGACGCUGAGACACGAAAGCGUGGGGAUCAAAAAGG
rnacentral:rRNA from 1 species